UCGGGAGGAACACCAGUGGCGAAGGCGGCCUCCUGGCUUGUACCUGACUCUGAAACGCGAAAGCAUGGGUAGCAAACAGGAUUAGAAACCCUGGUAGUCCAUGCCAUAAACGAUGUCAACUGGGUGUCGGCGAAGUAAAAUUUGUCGGUGCCGAAGCUAACGCGUUAAGUUGACCGCCUGAGGACUACGAUCGCAAGAUUAAAACUCAAAGGAAUUGACGGGGACCCGCACAGGCAGCGGAGCGUGUGGUUUAAUUCGAGGCUACGCGAAGAACCUUACCAGGGUUUGACAUUCAUGUAGUAGGGAAGCGAAAGCGGACCGACCCUUCGGGGAGCAUGAACAGGUGAUGCAUGGCUGUCGUCAGCUCGUGCCGUGAGGUGUUCGGUUAAGUCCGUUAACGAGCGCAACCCUUGUCGCAUGUUACACGUGUCAUGCGAGACUGCCGGUGUCAAACCGGAGGAAGGUGGGGACGACGUCAAGUCGGCAUGUCCUUUAUAUUCUGGGCUACACACACGCUACAAUGGCCGGGACAAUGGGUUGCCAAGCCGCGAGGCGGAGCCAAUCCUCAAACCCGGUCUCAGUUUGGAUUGUAGGCUGCAACUCGCUACAUGAAGU
rnacentral:rRNA from 1 species